AUUGAACGCUGGCGGCAUGCUUUACACAUGCAAGUCGGACGGCAGCACAGAGAAGCUUGCUUCUUGGGUGGCGAGUGGCGAACGGGUGAGUAACAUAUCGGAACGUACCGAGCAGUGGGGGAUAACUAAUCGAAAGAUUAGCUAAUACCGCAUAUCUUCUGAGGAAGAAAGCAGGGGACCAUUUGGCCUUGCGCUGUUUGAGCGGCCGAUAUCUGAUUAGCUAGUUGGUGGGGUAAAGGCCUACCAAGGCGACGAUCAGUAGCGGGUCUGAGAGGAUGAUCCGCCACACUGGGACUGAGACACGGCCCAGACUCCUACGGGAGGCAGCAGUGGGGAAUUUUGGACAAUGGGCGAAAGCCUGAUCCAGCCAUGCCGCGUGUCUGAAGAAGGCCUUCGGGUUGUAAAGGACUUUUGUCAGGGAAGAAAAGGGCGGGGUUAAUACCCCUGUCUGAUGACGGUACCUGAAGAAUAAGCACCGGCUAACUACGUGCCAGCAGCCGCGGUAAUACGUAGGGUGCGAGCGUUAAUCGGAAUUACUGGGCGUAAAGCGGGCGCAGACGGUUACUUAAGCAGGAUGUGAAAUCCCCGGGCUCAACCUGGGAACUGCGUUCUGAACUGGGUGACUAGAGUGUGUCAGAGGGAGGUAGAAUUCCACGUGUAGCAGUGAAAUGCGUAGAGAUGUGGAGGAAUACCGAUGGCGAAGGCAGCCUCCUGGGAUAACACUGACGUUCAUGCCCGAAAGCGUGGGUAGCAAACAGG
rnacentral:rRNA from 1 species